rnacentral:rRNA from 1 species
GGGGUCCUACGGGGCGCAGCAGUGGGGAAUAUUGCACAAUGGGGGAUACCCUGAUGCAGCGACGCCGCGUGAGUGAAGAAGUAUUUCGGUACGUAAAGCUCUAUCAGCAGGGAAGAAAAUGACGGUACCUGACUAAGAAGCCCCGGCUAACUACGUGCCAGCAGCCGCGGUAAUACGUAGGGGGCAAGCGUUAUCCGGAUUUACUGGGUGUAAAGGGAGCGUAGACGGCAGCGCAAGUCUGGAGUGAAAUCCCAUGGCUUAACCAUGGAACUGCUUUGGAAACUGUGCAGCUA